AAAUCUUGGUUUUUCGUUUGAUUUUUGAUUUUUCAAUUGGUUUUUGAUUCGGUUUAUCACUGUACGAAUUAUUAAUUUGCAUUUAAAUAAUUAAAUACAUUUCCAGGCUGUCAGUUUAUUAAAUUAAAAUGGAAAAUCUUUGAAAAUAAAAAUUCGGGUUGUUUCAGUCUUCCCCCCUUAUAAAAAUUCGUCCUCGAAUUUUAAAAGUAACAAGAAACUAGGAUGCAACAGUUGUUUACGACAAUGGUAGUUGUGCUUCUCACAUAAUGCUGCAACUGCUAAAAGUUAUGACAUUCACAUUCAGGAGAAUACUUGUUCUUAUGAGCAGUUAGAUAUCUACCUUAUCACCAUAGUUAAUUUAGGUUUGAGUUGUACUAUAUCUACAAGUCAUCAACUCAAGUCAAAGAUUCAUAACCCUAAGCACACAACUCAAGUCAAAUAUUCAUAAC
rnacentral:lncRNA from 1 species